rnacentral:rRNA from 1 species
GGGAAUCUACCCAGUUCUACGGAACAACAGUUGGAAACGACUGCUAAUACCGUAUACGCCCUACGGGGGAAAGAUUUAUCGGAAUUAGAUGAGCCCGCGUAAGAUUAGCUAGUUGGUGGGGUAAUGGCCUACCAAGGCGACGAUCUUUAGCUGGUCUGAGAGGAUGAUCAGCCACACUGGGACUGAGACACGGCCCAGACUCCUACGGGAGGCAGCAGUGGGGAAUAUUGGACAAUGGGCGCAAGCCUGAUCCAGCCAUGCCGCGUGAGUGAUGAAGGCCUUAGGGUUGUAAAGCUCUUUCACCGAUGAAGAUAAUGACGGUAGUCGGAGAAGAAGCCCCGGCUAACUUCGUGCCAGCAGCCGCGGUAAUACGAAGGGGGCUAGCGUUGUUCGGAUUUACUGGGCGUAAAGCGCACGUAGGCGGUUUGUUAAGUCAGGGGUGAAAUCCCGGAGCUCAACUCCGGAACUGCCUUUGAUACUGGCAAGCUAGAGUCCGGAAGAGGUAAGUGGAACUCCUAGU